GCAUGACGCGUCAUUUAAAAACGGAACGGAAGUGACGGUUCGUCAGACAGUCAGAAGAAAAAAAAACUACAGUACUCGACGUCGAGGCUUAUUAAAGAAUAAUAACGUUUAGCAUCUGAGUGAGGAUGGUGGAAAGCUGUUAAUCCUCCCAGAGAAAGGAUAUCAAUCUGCUGUCGUGCUGGCAAACUACUUGCAACGCUUCAGCCUGAUGUUUGUCAGCGGAUGAACGGCCAAGUAGUUUACACCAAAAGGGGAUGGCAGGAAGCUUAUAUCCACUUACUGUCCUGAUGGCCAACUGUUUGGUUUGUGAGGUUUGUAAUAUCGGAGGAAUUGCAAUGUUAAGUCCUGCAAGCCAUUUAUGAAAUAAAGUAUUUGUAACUGAAUGGUAUUAAAUGUGUUCCACGUUUACAAAUGGACAAAUUAGGUCCUGUCCACACGGGAAAGCUUUUAGGUGGAAAGGGUAAAGUUUGUUUUAGCCUUUCAUUCAUGCGGAAACAGCGUUAUGGGUCGCCUGAAAAGAUAAAUUGUGAAAAUGCGCUCUCGAGUGGGAAUGUUUGAUAACACCACCAUAUCGCUAUCUCGACAAGCAAACCACUACUUUUUCAUAUCAGUGUGCCAUCAUAUGACCAUAUAAAUGAUAAGACUGCAUGCAACCGCUGCUAGCAACAAUGGCGUGCCUAUGCUGUAUUUACGGUUUUCACAAUGUACCUGCAUGGUAUUUGUCUUAAAUCCAAUAAUGGAAAUGUAAUGUUUUCAAAGGGUACCAUACUUUUUGGGAAUAUUGUCUAUCAUUCACAAUCCUUAUGUAGGACAAACAUGUUUUGCUUUGUUUAUGCAUGAUUCUAUUUAGUAAAAACACUAGGGAAAACGGGCACAUUCAUAAUAUAUAAUUAUGUAUUUUGCUCGUUUUAAGCAUACGGUGGCGCAUUAAUUUCACAUACCCAUCUCGUUUGCAUUUCCUUUUUGCGACACUAUUAAUCAUAACAGACUUCAUAAACAACUAAGACUACCAUACUUUGGUACUAAUAAUAAUGAACCAGAACCUUAUAUUUUUUAGCCUGAAUUUAAGGAGGAUGAUUUACAAGUUUUAGAGACUUUGCUAAACAGGUCUAGCUUUAGUGAAACUAAGCAUCAUGCAGCUGUAAUGCCAAGUGCUGAACAAGAUGUACAAACUAUGAACAUAAUAAAAAAUAACUUACUGUACAAUGUCUGCUCUCACUGGGAAACCGACUGAUGGGAUGCUUAUAUCUUCCCAUUUAGAUGAAGAAUUAAUCAUAAUCAUUGGUCAGGUAAUAAAAGGUGCGGCAAAAGAGCGUCUUUUCGUGUCUUCCUUGCCAUUUCCAGGUAUAAAUUGGAUGUCAUAGUUGACAAACUUCUGUUAAUGGCUACAACCUUCUACUGUCCAGGUGAGCGGUUUAUAAUUUAGAAUUGGCGUUCAACAACCCAGAGGCGAUGCAGCUUAGACUAGUUGGCUCUCUAAUGAGGGGGCUGCUAAAAAGAGAAUUCAUGUUUCAAGAUUGUUUGUCAUAUGCACAGUUAAACAUGUUUGACAGUUUGCCGUACAAUGAAAAUCUUACUAUGCUAGUCCACCCUUCAACAAGUCACACGGUACUUACCUUUAAAAAUAAAAAUGUAUAUACAAGGAACAGUAAGUAACAUAACAUUAUUGCACAUUCUGGUUGUUAGCGAUUAUAAUAUCAGUAAAACUUGGUUAAUAUUCAGGUCACCAGAUGUAAAUUGAGCAUUGUUGGGAAAAGUGCACUUCCCCUUAAAAAUGUAGUUAAAAUGGCCAUGAAAGGCUUUUAAAAUAUAUUGUCAAAGCAAAUGUGUACAGUAUAUAUAUCUGUCUUGCUUUUAAAUGUUGAGAUUUUUUGAGGGUGCUAUUUAUAAAUUUAAAACGGGGGAAGAAUAUGGUCAGAAUGUUGUGCACAAGCAUAGUGAGCAGUAUUUUAUAGCGUUUAGCUAGCGAAGGUGUUAGGAAAGCCUACUUGGAAGCAAAGCAGAGUCCAACAAUUUGUUGUAAAAUAAGUUUUCUAUUUCCUUCAUUGUAUUACAUAAUUUUCACCCAGUUACAUUAUCCUGUCGGGACGUAACUCGUUUAAAUCGACUUUGUGUAGAUGCAUUUCUUCUUUUUAAAUCUGGCAGUAGAUGCAAAAAAACAUUCCUGUGUGGACAUGGCCUAAUAUUAAUCACAACUUCUUUAUACAUCAUACCAAUUAAAUAUGACCUGCGGAUUUGCAUUCAGGAUGUGUGGUAACACAAUAUUGUGAAGACAAUUAACUGCACUGCAAACAUUCACAUACAACUGACACGGGAGCACUUUUCUGUACUGUAAUGUUUGUCAGUGCAAAAUUGGUUCAUACUGAGUUUACUGACCUUGAUUUUGUUGUUGGCAAUAAAUAU